rnacentral:rRNA from 1 species
CCUGAGAAACCCGAAAGAUCGAAUGGGGAGAUUCAUCGUCAGCGACACUGGUACGUGUGCGGUUCGCGAUGCCGGAGACUUCGGUCUCGUGGCACGCGUCCGCAUGUUUUUUAUUGCCUGGUGUCGUCGGCGUGCACUUCUCCCCUAGUAGGACGUCGCGACCCGUUGGGUGUCGGUCUACGGCCCGGGUGGGCGCCUGUCUCGUGUGUGCUUCACGGCUACACUGCGGGGCAGACCCCCGGCUGCCUGACCGUCUGCCCGGCGGUACUCGCAAGGUAUCUGGCCGCAAAUAUUCGAACUGCGUCCGGCCCGUCGCAAGCGAGGCAAGUGCUUCCCGAAUGCACGGAUCUAAUGCCGUCAUCGGGCCUUGCCAGCUGUUGGUUGACGGUGUCCUAGGACUGGCUAAAGCAAUUAUGAUACCGGUCAGCGACGCUACUGCUUUGGGUACUUUCAGGA